UACCCGCAGCACAAGUGGUGGUCAUUAUUAUUGGGCCUAAAGCGUCCGUAGCUGGCUUGUUAGAUGCCUGGGUAAAUCGAUGCGCUUAACGCAUCGAAUUCCGGGUAGACCGGCAAGCUCGAGACCGGGAGAGGUGUAGGCUACUCGAGGGGUAGGGGUAAAAUCCUGUAAUCCUUCGGGGAGGACCAGUGGCGAAGGCGCUACACUAGAACGGCUCUGACAGUGAGGGACGAAGCCCUGGGGCGCAAACCGG
rnacentral:rRNA from 1 species